UACGUAGGGGGCAAGCGUUGUCCGGAUUUAUUGGGCGUAAAGAGCGUGUAGGCGGCCUUACAGGUCAGCUGUGAAAACUCGAGGCUCAACCUCGAGACGUCGGUUGAAACCGUAUGGCUAGAGUCCGGAAGAGGAGAGUGGAAUUCCUGGUGUAGCGGUGAAAUGCGCAGAUAUCAGGAAGAACACCCGUGGCGAAGGCGGCUCUCUGGUACGUGACUGACGCUGAGGUGCGAAAGCGUGGGGAGCAAACAGG
rnacentral:rRNA from 1 species